GACGAACGCUGGCGGCGUGCCUAAUACAUGCAAGUCGAGCGGACGGAUGGGAGCUUGCUCCCAGACCGUCAGCGGCGGACGGGUGAGUAACACGUUGGCAACCUGCCUGUAAGACUGGGAUAACUCCGGGAAACCGGGGCUAAUACCGGAUAACUCUUUCCCUCACAUGAGGGAAAGCUGAAAGAUGGCAUCUCGCUAUCACUUACAGAUGGGCCCGCGGCGCAUUAGCUAGUUGGUGAGGUAACGGCUCACCAAGGCGACGAUGCGUAGCCGACCUGAGAGGGUGAUCGGCCACACUGGGACUGAGACACGGCCACGACUCCUACGGGAGGCAGCAGUAGGGAAUCUUACGCAAUGGAGGAAAGUCUGACGGAGCAACGCCGCGUGAGUGAUGAAGGUGUUCGGAUCGUAAAACUAUGUUGUCAGGGAAGAACAAGUACCGGAGUAACUGCCGGUACAUUGACGGUACCUGAACAGAAAGCCACGGCUAACUACGUG
rnacentral:rRNA from 1 species